CCGCAGUGCAUUGCUGUUGUAUUGCAUGUCUGUGAAGCGGGUGCAGUUCCUCGGCAAUGCAGCCCGG
rnacentral:pre_miRNA from 1 species